UCGGACGUGGUGUACUGUUACACGGCCUCGUUAUAUAGUUAUGCCCACAGCUCCAGGCGAUUUCGAGGUAGUACCGGGUUCGAUUCCUGGCGUCCGAG